AACGGGAGGCAGCAGUAGGGAAUCUUCCACAAUGGACGCAAGUCUGAUGGAGCAACGCCGCGUGAGUGAAGAAGGUUUUCGGAUCGUAAAGCUCUGUUGUUGGUGAAGAAGGACAGGGAUAGUAACUGAUUCUUGUUUGACGGUAAUCAACCAGAAAGUCACGGCUAACUACGUGCCAGCAGCCGCGGUAAUACGUAGGUGGCAAGCGUUGUCCGGAUUUAUUGGGCGUAAAGCGAACGCAGGCGGGAGAAUAAGUCAGCUGUGAAAGCCCUCAGCUUAACUGGGGAACUGCAGCUGAAACUAUUUUUCUUGAGUGCAGAAGAGGAGAGUGGAACUCCAUGUGUAGCGGUGGAAUGCGUAGAUAUAUGGAAGAACACCAGUGGCGAAGGCGGCUCUCUGGUCUGUAACUGACGCUGAGGUUCGAAAGCAUGGGUAGCGAACAGGAUUAGAUACCCUGGUAGUCCAUGCCGUAAACGAUGAGUGCUAAGUGUUGGGAGGUUUCCNCCUCUCAGUGCUGCAGCUAACNCAUUAAGCACUCCNNCUGGGGAGUACGACCNCAAGNUNAAANCUCAAAGGAAUUGACNGGGGCCNNCACAANCNGUG
rnacentral:rRNA from 1 species